rnacentral:rRNA from 1 species
UCAUAAUAUGGCAUAUGGCAAAUUACACCAAUUCCCAUCGGACCACUGAAGUUAAUCCAUGUUGCGCGUGGUUGGUAUCUGGACGGGUGACCAUGUGGGCAGAUAAUAACACGAGUCUCUGGC